CAAAAUGGAACUCGCCAAUUCGCGCGCGAUAUGUUUUAUUUGUUUAUUUUGUAGCAAGUAAAGUUCUUGAAGACAUUUGUGUCAUAAGGUCUAGUUCUGAGGAUGGGUUCCAUGAGAAAUCGAAGAAAUUCCUCAAAUCUUAUAGGCAUACAAUACAUACAGUAAUGUUUGGAUUCUCGUCAACAUAUCAAGCAUUUUUAUUUAAACAAGUUAGUGAUAUUGACCAGAACGGAACUCUUCAACGCGCGCGAUUCUUAUUCUUUGUUAAGUUUGUAGCAAGCUAGGUUCUUAGGAAACAUUUGUGUCAAGGUCCAGUUCUGAUGAUGGAUUCAAUGAGGAAUUGAGGAUUUUAAAUCGAUUUGAAUUCACAAUUAGGAGGAUUUUCGUCAACAUAUCAAGUUUUUUUUAUUUGAACAAGUGACAUUUGAUGAAGUGAAACUGCUGAUAUUACUGAAACUAUGCUGAUACUGCUGAAAUGGAACUCUUCAACGACAAGUAUUUUACCUUAGGCGUUUUUUUUAUUUUAUUUCGUUUAUAGCAUGUAAGGCUUUUAAGGAACAUUUGUGUCAAGGUCCAGUUCUGAUGAUAGGUUCUACGAGAAACUGAAGGAGCUUCUCAUAUUGUAUAGGAUAGGCAUACAUAUAGUCAUUUUAGGAUUUUCAUCAAUAUUAUAAGCAUUUUUACUCAAUAAAGUGACAUUUGUUGAAGUAGAAUUGCUGAUGAAGAACGGAACACCUCAACGACUUCCAGAUUCUUUAUUUUUAUUACUCUUCUUUCUUUUUCAUUAUUCUUAGAACAGGUAUUUCUACGAAGUGAACCGAACUGCUACUAUUAAAAGUAGGUAGGUAGGUAGGUUAAAUAGGUUAAAACUGUAAGGAUUAUUAUGUAUAAGUAGUUUCUUUUAAUUAAACAUAGGUAAGUAAUUCUAUUUAAGUAUAAGUAUCUUUAAAAAAACAUCAAUCGACUCUUAUCUGUCACUAGUUCCAGUUUCAGAGUAUAAAAUCCGGGUACACAGCCACGGCUAGCCGGGUAGCCAGACAGUUCGAAUACGGACAAGUUAUUGUGAAUAAAAAAUCUUAUCGUCUUGCAAAAGUUAAUGUCAUAAAUGUAUAGGUUUCGAAUACAUGAAUAUAAAGUGAAAAUGCUGGUAAAAGUAUUAGUUUUUAUCAUUAACCAUUUUAUAUCCCAACAAAACUGUUACCCUUACAAAAAUAAAAUGCUUUCAUUACCUAAUGUAGGUUACGUUAGGUAAUAAAUAAAUAAAUAUGUACAUAGGACAAUCUUACACAGAUUGGCCCCAAACUAAUCAAAGCUUGUACUAUGGGUACUAGGCGACGUUAAACAUACUUAUUUAGAUAAAUAUAUAUUUACGUAUAUACAUAGAAAACACGCAAGCCUUAGGAACAAAUAUCUGUAUUCAUCACACAAAGAAAUGCCCUUACGCGAUUCAAACUCGGGACCAUCGGCUUCAUAGGCAGGGUCACUACCCACUAGGCCAAACCGGUCGGCAAAAGGUAAAGAUAAUUAGGUAAAGACAAUGAAUAAUUAAACGUAUUAUAAAUUGACACCAAUAUCCAUCAAAUAGUAUAACUAGGUAUGCUAAGAGCGGGCUUCAGGCCAUUACGUCGCACCUUUAGAAUUAAAUUAAUUUGACUCAAAAAGUACGACUACUUUAUAUAUGUAGUUUGGUAGAACAGUAAGAACUCACUAUAUGUGUCUCUUUUUCAUGCGGUGAAAUCCCCCCACCCGGAAAGGAUAGCGACGCCCAUUUUAUCGACUCUCGAGUCGACUCCAAUCUGAUACUAAUAAAACCAUACGGAAAUAAUGAGGAUGCAUCGACAUAAGAAGAAUCGAACAUGGGCAAGAUAAAGUUCAAGAAAAAAGCAAAUAUAAUGUGUACUUGUGUGUAGUCAAAGAAAGUUGAAAAAUAAAGCAUAAUUAAUGGCCAUAGAAUACAGAACCGAUACACGAACAUUAAGACUAUUAAAAAUAGACAUAUAGGUUGAUCGUACUACUCGUACUAAUGUAUAUCUUUUGUUCAAUUAUAUUAUUGCAUUAAAGUUAGAUUCUCUAGAUAUAUAUUAUUCAUAGGUUCUGUAUUCUAUACGAAUUGUUUCAGUGUAAUUAUUGUACUAAAUACCGUUGACCGCCUGUCAACAGUAUUUAUUUCUACAUUACUAUCACAGAAGAUUUUAGGCCCUACCGUACAGUUUUUGAAUUAGUAUUUACUAUGGACAAAUAUAGCGAAAUGUGAGUUUUUACCUAAAA